rnacentral:misc_RNA from 1 species
GAUGAAGAACGCAGCGAAAUGCGAUAAGUAAUGUGAAUUGCAGAAUUCAGUGAAUCAUCGAAUCUUUGAACGCACAUUGCGCCCCUUGGUAUUCCGAGGGGCAUGCCUGUUCGAGCGUCAUUAUAACCCCUCAAGCUCAGCUUGGUGUUGGGGCCUGCUGCACUGGCAGCCCUUAAAAUCAGUGGCGGCGCCAUCUGGCUCUAAGCGUAGUAAUACUCCUCGCUCUUGAGUUCCAGGUGGAUGCUGGCCAGCAACCCCCAACUUUCUAAGUUUGACCUCGGAUCAGGUAGGGAUACCCGCUGAACUUAAGCAUAUCAAUAAGCGGAGGA